CCACCCAAAAUGGCGGCUCCAAUCCCCGCCCACCCCCUGUAACCCCAUUGGCUGAGCCGCCCGUCAAUCACCACGGCCCCGCCCCUUCCCCGCGCUCUGAUUGGUUCGCGCCGUUUUCCCCAAAAACGACCAAAACCCGAAUUUUUCACCUUCCGGCGCCAUUUUGGGCGGGGGGCGGGGCUUAACAGAGGGAAGGCCACGCCCCUUUCUGCCGCUCGGAGCGCUGAUUGGUCGGAUUGUGGAGCCACGCCCACGCAAAGCCCCGCCCCCUUCGGCCCCCGACGGGGGCGGGAUUUGGGAAUUCCUGAGGGAAUUUGGGGAAUUCUGGAGGAAUUUUGGGAUCCUGGGGGGAAUUUUGGGAAAAUUUUGGGAAUUCUGGAGGGAAUGUUGGGAAUUCUGGAGGAAUUUUGGGAAAAUUUUGGGAAUUCCUGAGGGAAUUUUGGGAAUUCUGAGGGAAUUUUGGGAAUUCUGGGAUCCUGGGAGGAAUUUUGGGAUAAUUUUGGGAAUCCUGGAAGAAUUUCAGGAAUCCUGGGAGGAAUUUUGGGAAUCCUGGAGUGAAUUUUGGGUCAUUUCCCCUCCCACAAACGAGGCGAGAUCGGCGAAUUCCGGGCGCUUUUUUCCCCCAAAAAAGCGGGAAAAGCUUCGGGAUAAUCCCGGGAUAAUUCUGGGAUAAUUCUGGGAUAAUCCCAGGAUAAUUCCGGGAUAAUUCCAGGACAAUCCGGGCCGCUCAGAGCUCCUGCUCCAGGCCGUCGCUGAGCUCCGGGAAGUCGCCCGCCUGGACGUUCUGCGGCUUCACGAAGGCCCCGAAUUUCGGGGGGCACUCGAAGUAACGGCGACCCCCCACGCUGGGGAGAUAAGGGGGAGAUAAGGGGGAGAUAAGGGGGAGAUAAGGGGGGAGAUAAGGGGGGAGAUAAGAGAUAAGGGGGGAUAAGAGAUAAGGGGGGAUAAGAAAUAAGGGGGAAUAAGAGGGGAUAAGAGAUAAGGGAGUGAUAACACAUAAGGGGGGAUAAGAGAUAAGGGGGAGAUAAGGGGGAGAUAAGAGAUAAGAGAUAAGGGGGGAUGAGAGAUAAGGGGGAGAUAAGGGGGAGAGAUAAGAGAUAAAGGGGGAUAACAGAUAAGGGGGGAUAACAGAUAAGGGGGGAUGAGAGAUAAGGGGGGAUAAGAGAUAAUUUAGAGACAUAAAAGGGAC
rnacentral:lncRNA from 1 species